AGCGUUGGGCACUCUAGCCAGACUGCCGGUGAUAAAUCGGAGGAAGGUGGGGACGACGUCAAAUCAUCAUGCCCUUUAUGUCCUGGGCUACACACGUACUACAAUGGCCGUUACAACGGGAAGCGAAGGAGCAAUCCGGAGCAAAUCCCUUAAAGGCGGUCCCAGUUCAGAUUGUGGGCUGAAACUCGCCCACAUGAAGGCGGAAUUGCUAGUAACCGCGCGUCAGCUAUAGUGCGGUGAAUACGUUCCCGGGGCUU
rnacentral:rRNA from 1 species